CGAAAUAAGAAGAAGAAUUAACAAAGUUUGAUAUACGUUUUUUAAUUAAAUUAAGGUAUAAUUUUCAACUCUUAAGCCAUGAGGUAGUUUUUUUGCCGAUUUUUAUUGACUACCACUAUACGAGUAGUUGUUUUUGGCGUUGUAACGGAACGUUUUCCCAUUGCAGCAUUGUUCUCACUCAAUAUUAGUUUUUCGCUCAAGUGAAGUUAUUUGUAAUAGAAUAAGCGGAAGACAAAAUGUAAGUUUAGUUAUUAAUUGUGUUACUACAGUGACAAUUGAAAUGUGAACUUAAAAAUCCGUAUUUGGUAAGUGAUUUCCUAUUGUUACUAUUAUUUGUAUUUAUAGCUGCUAAAUUUAAAACGGUGAAGAUAUAGCGCGAUCCGAUUUUUUCCAAAAUUGUCCAAAGUUUUAUCAGACUUAUGUAGUUUAAAAAUCAUUCCUCAAUUGUUAGGGAAUGAUAGCAUGACAGUCCAAUUUUUGUCACUAUUGUUCGAUUUCUAGGGCAAAUAUGUGUUUGUGUCAAAAUUUGACUAAAUAUUAAGCCGGAUUAUUUAAUUAGUAUACCACGUAGUCGAUAUUUGUUUUUGAGGCAUUUGUCACCAAGUUCAGACUUCUCUUCAACAUUCUCCAAUACUCUUUAAGUAUUUUGUGGCAACUAUUCAAUGCAAAAUUUCCACAUGUACAUACGUACAUGUAUUGGAAAUACGCCGAAGCAAGAAAUUUUUAUGCUAACAAAAGCACACUUUGGUUUUCUGAUCGUACAUCUAACUACUUUGCAAGGAAAUCAUGAUAACUAAUAAUAUCUUUGACACAGUUUAGUACUUUUGAAUAUGUUAUUCAAGCACUUCUCAGUUUUUUAUAGCUAAUAUUUUUCACUAAACACUGAUCUUUAUAGUUGUGGGAAAUUUGGUCUCUUUCUUUGUUUUUAAAUAAAACACAUUUAUUU